UUGCGAGUUGCAGUUUCUCUCAUUCAUAAGUAUCGGAGUGAACCGUCUUUGUAUGUCUAUAUACUUUGUUCCACCUCC